GGUGGGUUAGCCAAGUGGUAAGGUCCGAAGCUGCAACCUUCGUAUGCGUCAGUUCAAAUCUGUCACCCACCUCCA
rnacentral:tRNA from 1 species